AUUGAACGCUAGCGGGAUGCCUUACACAUGCAAGUCGAACGGAGUGGCGAACGGGUGAGUAAUGUAUCGGAACGUGCCCAGUAGCGGGGGAUAACUACGCGAAAGCGUAGCUAAUACCGCAUACUAUUGGAUCAGCCGAUAGCGGAUUAGCUAGUUGGUGGGGUAACGGAGCACCAAGGCGACGAUCCGUACCGGGUUUGAGAGGACGACCAGCCACACUGGGACUGACACACGGCCCAGAAGCCUACGGGAGGCAGCAGUGGGUAAUUUUGGACAAUGGGGGAAACCCUGAUCCAGCCAUCCCGCGUGUGCGAUGAAGGCCUGCGGGUUGUAAAGCACUUUUGGCAGGAAAGCGGUACCUGCAGAAUAAGCACCGGCUAACUACGUGCCAGCAGCCGCGGUAAUAC
rnacentral:rRNA from 1 species